rnacentral:rRNA from 1 species
AACGAACGCUGGCGGCAUGCCUAACACAUGCAAGUCGAACGAGACCUUCGGGUCUAGUGGCGCACGGGUGCGUAACGCGUGGGAACCUGCCCUUAUGUUCGGAAUAACUCCCCGAAAGGGGUGCUAAUACCGGAUAAUGUCUUCGGACCAAAGAUUUAUCGCCUUUGGAUGGGCCCGCGUUGGAUUAGCUAGUUGGUAGGGUAAAAGCCUACCAAGGCGACGAUCCAUAGCUGGUCUGAGAGGAUGAUCAGCCACACUGGGACUGAGACACGGCCCAGACUCCUACGGGAGGCAGCAGUGGGGAAUAUUGGACAAUGGGCGAAAGCCUGAUCCAGCAAUGCCGCGUGAGUGAUGAAGGCCUUAGGGUUGUAAAGCUCUUUUAGCCGGGAUGAUAAUGACAGUACCGGGAGAAUAAGCUCCGGCUAACUCCGUG